GUGGCUAGCCCAAGGCAAAGGACCUGAAGGACAAUGCAAACCACCACUGUAAAAACCAGUGCACAUAAUGCAAGGAGGAAGGUCAUUGGGUCAGAUAUUGCCACAAAAAGGGACCCAGGAAUCAGAAUAAGUUCCUGGCUCUGGAGGAUCAGCAUUUGUGUUGAAGUUUGAAUUUGUCUCAGCAGAUUUUCACCUGGUUGAGACUGCAAGCUGAGAUCUGCACUUGCUGGAAGCUGACAUGAUUGCUCACUGCCUCCUUGGAUGGAUCACCUACCCAGACGUUUCUGAGGACUGCCCCACUGCGCAGCCUUUGGCUGGCAUUUGAGUCUUCCUAGCCCCUGAUGCCAAGAGAGCUAUUGUCAUCAUUAAAGCAGUUUCAGAAGAAGAGACCACCGGCCCCAAAUCCCACCAACAGGCUGAAAUGCUAGGUCAAAUGGGACUCCUUGACAUUAGCUAUUAUCUUGGGGACAGGUUUUGCUGGAGCAUAAAUUAGUGUUCCAAUACUUGAUGUACAAAGCGAGAAUUAUAACAGCUCAAAAGCAGAAUCUUUUGCUAUUGGUCAUUUUUGGAUUAUGCUUACUUAAUAAGUUGUUAGGAUAUAUUAGGCAAAGACUGGAGACUAUACAGUUGAUGAUAAUUGGAACCCAGUACUGCCAGCUUGGAGAUGACCUUGAACUCUAAGAGCCCAUAUUGGCCUCUUCAGGUACAUGGAAAAGGAAAAAUAAAGAGUUUAAGUUAGCCUGGGCAUAGGUAGCCUGAGUAUAACUCCAUUUUUAAAAUAAAGAGCCAUCUUGACUGGGAGCUGAAUUCAGGUACCAGGUAAUAUCACAAAAUGUGCACCUGGCAGAAAACAAAGUUAACUCUCCUAGCAACCGCUUUCAGGAAAUAUCACAGAAUAAAUACUUCAUAGAAAAUAGAGACAAUCUCCCUGGCAAUAAUCAAUGAAAAUUGGUUGAGAAUCAUGUGGGAAAAUUCUCCCCAUGUUUCAGAUAUAGAUUAAAAGAAUAGCCAUUGUGAUCAUAAGUCUUAGGCAAUUGUGCCUAAGCCAAGCAUAUGCCUUAGGCAAUUGUGAUUCAGAGGUCUCCUCAGCCCUCUAACUUUUACCUAAUCCUGUAAUGUCAAGGCAUAGGACGCCAUUUGCUGUCAUAGAAACAUGUGCCCCCCUGUUUGUUGUCAUGGAAACACCCUGAUCACAGACUUUCCCUUUAAAAACCCUGCUCACUCAGGGCUCAAGGUUCCACUUCUCUACUGCUGCAUCAGUGAGACUUGCUUCCCGAGUUUGAGUAUUCUCUUAAUAAAGCUCUCUUGCUAUUGCA